rnacentral:rRNA from 1 species
AAAGGCGCUUUCGGGUGUCGCUGAUGGAUGGACCCGCGGUGCAUUAGCUAGUUGGUGAGGUAACGGCUCACCAAGGCGACGAUGCAUAGCCGACCUGAGAGGGUGAUCGGCCACAUUGGGACUGAGACACGGCCCAAACUCCUACGGGAGGCAGCAGUAGGGAAUCUUCGGCAAUGGACGAAAGUCUGACCGAGCAACGCCGCGUGAGUGAAGAAGGUUUUCGGAUCGUAAAACUCUGUUGUUAGAGAAGAACAAGGAUGAGAGUAACUGUUCAUCCCUUGACGGUAUCUAACCAGAAAGCCACGGCUAACUACGUGCCAGCAGCCGCGGUAAUACGUAGGUGGCAAGCGUUGUCCGGAUUUAUUGGGCGUAAAGCGAGCGCAGGCGGUUUCUUAAGUCUGAUGUGAAAGCCCCCGGCUCAACCGGGGAGGGUCAUUGGAAACUGGGAGACUUGAGUGCAGAAGAGGAGAGUGGAAUUCCAUGUGUAGCGGUGAAAUGCGUAGAUAUAUGGAGGAACACCAGUGGCGAAGGCGGCUCUCUGGUCUGUAACUGACGCUGAGGCUCGAAAGCGUGGGGAGCAAACAGGAUUAGAUACCCUGGUAGUCCACGCCGUAAACGAUGAGUGCUAAGUGUUGGAGGGUUUCCGCCCUUCA